CCGGCGGCUCCAGGGCGAGACUCCUCCCGUCCCUGCAUCUUCCCCCCCCGCCCUUUGCGCGAGUUUCUUUCUCCGCGACCCUGCCGCGCCUGUCGAGACUACCAGCCUGCCACAGCGUCUCCUUGCCGCCACUCGCUCCCCUCGUAAGCGGCGCUGCCCAGACGGCGCAUGGCAACAGCGCCCGGCUCAGUCCAACGCUGGRAACGCUGAGGUUUUGCUGAAUCGCUCAGUGGGCGAGCACAGACGUGCUGCCUUUGCAGCCUGAACUGUUCAUUCAUGAAGACAUAAUUAUCCUCAGAGUCCCUCCAACCUUCUUUGAAAAUUAGCAUCUGAACACAGAUAAGAUGAAGUUAUUUAAGUCUCUGGAGUAUUGGAUCUGAGACCCACAAUAAAAUACUUCAGUAACUGUGCUUCAGUUGAUGCAGUUUCUCCUAAUAAACAAGACGGCUAAGAACUAGGAGAGUUGGUUCCAUACUCACUGCGGCUACUGACUGGCAAUGCACCCACGUGAACAUGUCCAUAGCACCUUAAGAAUUGUUGAAAUGGUAYGGAACCUGAGGGAGGAGAAAAAUGAGAUACAGAAAAAAGAGAGAACCUCUCCCAGUCCCUCUCAGGAUUCUUUACUAUGUUUUAUCUGGUGUAAAAAACCCUUCCUGACUCUGUUCCAGCUGAAACUCACUCUCCAAGCUCUCUGCAAGAAAAAGGAACUAUUUUUCAGGUAAAAAAUCAGUUAUGUAAAAUGAAUAAAAGCUACGGAGCAUCCA
rnacentral:lncRNA from 1 species